rnacentral:pre_miRNA from 8 species
AAUCUAAAGCACAUUAAGAUCACUUCAAACAGGAGCAUUGAUUUGUCCUUUGUUCAUAAGUGCUUCUCUUUGGGGUAGUUUUAAUAA